rnacentral:rRNA from 1 species
GACGAACGCUGGCGGCGUGCUUAACACAUGCAAGUCGAACGGAAAGACCCUGCUUUUGUGGGGUGCUCGAGUGGCGAACGGGUGAGUAACACGUGAGUAACCUGCCCUUGACUUUGGGAUAACUUCAGGAAACUGGGGCUAAUACCGGAUAGGAGCUCCUGCUGCAUGGUGGGGGUUGGAAAGUUUCGGCGGUUGGGGAUAGACUCGCGGCUUAUCAGCUUGUUGGUGGGGUAGUGGCUUACCAAGGCUUUGACGGGUAGCCGGCCUGAGAGGGUGACCGGCCACAUUGGGACUGAGAUACGGCCCAGACUCCUACGGGAGGCAGCAGUGGGGAAUAUUGCACAAUGGGCGGAAGCCUGAUGCAGCAACGCCGCGUGCGGGAUGACGGCCUUCGGGUUGUAAACCGCUUUCGCCUGUGACGAAGCGUGAGUGACGGUAAUGGGUAAAGAAGCACCGGCUAACUACGUG